UCGAUGAGUAGGGCGGGACACGUGGUAUCCUGUCUGAAUAUGGGGGGACCAUCCUCCAAGGCUAAAUACUCCUGACUGACCGAUAGUGAACCAGUACCGUGAGGGAAAGGCGAAAAGAACCCCGGCGAGGGGAGUGAAAAAGAACCUGAAACCGUGUACGUACAAGCAGUGGGAGCACGCUUAGGCGUGUGACUGCGUACCUUUUGUAUAAUGGGUCAGCGACUUAUAUUCUGUAGCAAGGUUAACCGAAUAGGGGAGCCGAAGGGAAACCGAGUCUUAACUGGGCGUUAAGUUGCAGGGUAUAGACCCGAAACCCGGUGAUCUAGCCAUGGGCAGGUUGAAGGUUGGGUAACACUAACUGGAGGACCGAACCGACUAAUGUUGAAAAAUUAGCGGAUGACUUGUGGCUGGGGGUGAAAGGCCAAUCAAACCGGGAGAUAGCUGGUUCUCCCCGAAAGCUAUUUAGGUAGCGCCUCGUGAAUUCAUCUCCGGGGGUAGAGCACUGUUUCGGCAAGGGGGUCAUCCCGACUUACCAACCCGAUGCAAACUGCGAAUACCGGAGAAUGUUAUCACGGGAGACACACGGCGGGUGCUAACGUCCGUCGUGAAGAGGGAAACAACCCAGACCGCCAGCUAAGGUCCCAAAGUCAUGGUUAAGUGGGAAACGAUGUGGGAAGGCCCAGACAGCCAGGAUGUUGGCUUAGAAGCAGCCAUCAUUUAAAGAAAGCGUAAUAGCUCACUGGUCGAGUCGGCCUGCGCGGAAGAUGUAACGGGGCUAAACCAUG
rnacentral:rRNA from 1 species